GCCAGCGGGUUGAGGGCCGGCUGCCCGCCCGGGCCCAGGCCGUGAAUCAGGACCCGCGGGACCAGGGGCCUCUGCAGGCCGGGAAAUGUUGCGACAGUUUCGUUUUCCGGGGAGUUUGUGCAGACGGCCCGGCUGCGGAGCGCUUCUGGGCCAGAGGUUAAACUGAGCCGUAAGAGUCCAGCCGGACUGACGAGGACGCAGGAGCCGCACACGGGGGCCCCAGUCUCGCUGCAUCACAGGUUUUGGAUCCUUUAACUGGCCACCAGCCCACCUAACCCAGCAAGGCACUGCUUUCCUGCCCUCAGACUUUUCAACAUUUUUACUGGGAGCCACAGCAGAGCCCCUCCUUAAUAUUUCCACCCCUGUCAUACAAGCUGCUCCAGUGCAGACUUCAAUCGACUGUGACUCGAAUCUUCGGUGCCGCUCAAAAGACAAGUGGAGCAAAUGUCAAUUACCAGUGUCGUGUGAGAAACAGCGCCCCCUAUUUUUCCACAUUCAAGUGCGUGUUUCCACCCAAACUGAGCUCAGGAAAAGUCCCGUCAUCUCAUGCUCGAAUGGACCAUAUUCUGCAAUAUUCCACCACCCUCAUCUGAGUUUCGGAGGAGCAGUGCAGAAGAAUCUCACAUUGUACAUUUAAACAUUCAAUUUGUUCAUGGAACUCCAUGGUAAACAACAGUGAACAUUUCAGCAAACAUAGUAUCCAUGUUGGUUAGGCACUUAUAUAUAUAUAUUAAUGUCUUCAUUAUAAAACAGCACACAUAUUUUUUUUUCAAAAUUUCCUACUAUCAAGCAAAGAAAGAAGGAGUCCUGUAUUUUCUCUAAUUGAAGAGAAACGCAACACAUGCUGUGUACUGUUUAAAACAAGGCAUCAGGCAUUUACAUUCAUUAUAAAUAUUUGGCAGGCUGCAGAGAUAAGCAAACCCCUUAAGAAAAUCUGUACGCAAUAUAAACUGUGUCUUGCCAGCAGUUUUUUUCCAGAACUCCCCAGAUGAUAGAGGGAAAGGUCAAAGGUAGUUGUCGCGAUGUACCCAAGGUCUACAAACUGCUCAUUAGUGUGCAGGCUGCCUCACCAGAGACAGAGUUCUGAACCUGCUCACCACUGGUUUGUUUUGAGAACUCAUCAGGGACUUUUUGAUUAGACUUGUAUUAUGUUACAACUUCAUGUUUAAUUAAUAAUUAACUACUGUCAACUGCUUGUUUAGCCACACAGAAAUAAACAUUUUUUUA